UUACGCCCAUAUAACGUUGAAACACUGGUUCCCGUAUGAUCACCGAAGUUAAGCAACGCCGAGCCUGUAGAUGAGUAACCGCUUGAGAAUACCUAGUGCUGCAAG